CCAGACUCCUACGGGAGGCAGCAGUGGGGGAUAUUGCACAAUGGGGGGAACCCUGAUGCAGCGACGCCGCGUGGGUGAAGAAGCGCCUCGGCGCGUAAAGCCCUGUCAGCAGGGAAGAAAAUGACGGUACCUGAAGAAGAAGCCCCGGCUAACUACGUGCCAGCAGCCGCGGUAAUACGUAGGGGGCAAGCGUUAUCCGGAUUCACUGGGUGUAAAGGGAGCGUAGACGGCGACGCAAGUCUGGAGUGAAAGCCCGGGGGCCAACCCCGGGACUGCUCUGGAAACUGCGUCGCUGGAGUGCGGGAGGGGCAGGCGGAAUUCCUGGUGUAGCGGUGAAAUGCGUAGAUAUCAGGAGGAACACCGGGGGCGAAGGCGGCCUGCUGGACCGUGACUGACGUUGAGGCUCGAGAGCGUGGGGAGCAAACAGGAUUAGAUACCCCAGUAA
rnacentral:rRNA from 1 species